rnacentral:rRNA from 1 species
GGGUUGUGAGGUUAAGCGACUAAGCGUACACGGUGGAUGCCCUGGCAGUCAGAGGCGAUGAAGGGCGUGCUAAUCUGCGAUAAGCGCCGGUAAGGUGAUAUGAACCGUUAUAACCGGCGAUACCCGAAUGGGGAAACCCAGUGUGACUCGUCACACUAUCAUUAACUGAAUCCAUAGGUUAAUGAGGCGAACCGGGGGAACUGAAACAUCUAAGUACCCCGAGGAAAAGAAAUCAACCGAGAUUCCCCCAGUAGCGGCGAGCGAACGGGGAGGAGCCCAGAGCCUGAAUCAGCAUGUGUGUUAGUGGAAGCGUCUGGAAAGGCGCGCGAUACAGGGUGACAGCCCCGUACACAAAAGCGCAUGUGCUGUGAGCUCGAUGAGUAGGGCGGGACACGUGGUAUCCUGUCUGAAUAUGGGGGGACCAUCCUCCAAGGCUAAAUACUCCUGACUGACCGAUAGUGAACCAGUACCGUGAGGGAAAGGCGAAAAGAACCCCGGCGAGGGGAGUGAAAAAGAACCUGAAACCGUGUACGUACAAGCAGUGGGAGCCCCACCACUAAGCCAGUGGUGAACUCCACAUCCGCAUCCUUUGCUGAGGAUACGGUUAACGGAGCGAAAGCGACGUUCAACCGCAAAACAAGCAGAGGGGGCUUAGUGGUGGGGUGACUGCGUACCUUUUGUAUAAUGGGUCAGCGACUUAUAUUCUGUAGCAAGGUUAACCGUAUAGGGGAGCCGGAGGGAAACCGAGUCUUAAUUGGGCGUUAAGUUGCAGGGUAUAGACCCGAAACCCGGUGAUCUAGCCAUGGGCAGGUUGAAGGUUGGGUAACACUAACUGGAGGACCGAACCGACUAAUGUUGAAAAAUUAGCGGAUGACCUGUGGCUGGGGGUGAAAGGCCAAUCAAACCGGGAGAUAGCUGGUUCUCCCCGAAAGCUAUUUAGGUAGCGCCUCGUGAAUUCAUCUCCGGGGGUAGAGCACUGUUUCGGCUAGGGGGCCAUCCCGGCUUACCAACCCGAUGCAAACUGCGAAUACCGGAGAAUGUUAUCACGGGAGACACACGGCGGGUGCUAACGUCCGUCGUGAAGAGGGAAACAACCCAGACCGCCAGCUAAGGUCCCAAAGUCAUGGUUAAGUGGGAAACGAUGUGGGAAGGCCCAGACAGCCAGGAUGUUGGCUUAGAAGCAGCCAUCAUUUAAAGAAAGCGUAAUAGCUCACUGGUCGAGUCGGCCUGCGCGGAAGAUGUAACGGGGCUAAACCAUGCACCGAAGCUGCGGCAGCGACGCUGAUGCGUUGUUGGGUAGGGGAGCGUUCUGUAAGCCUGCGAAGGUGACCUGUGAGGGUUGCUGGAGGUAUCAGAAGUGCGAAUGCUGACAUAAGUAACGAUAAAGCGGGUGAAAAGCCCGCUCGCCGGAAGACCAAGGGUUCCUGUCCAACGUUAAUCGGGGCAGGGUGAGUCGACCCCUAAGGCGAGGCCGAAAGGCGUAGUCGAUGGGAAACGGGUUAAUAUUCCCGUACUUGGUGUUACUGCGAAGGGGGGACGGAGAAGGCUAUGUUGGCCGGGCGACGGUUGUCCCGGUUUAAGCGUGUAGGUGUGUGUUCCAGGUAAAUCCGGUUCACUUUAACACUGAGGCGUGACGACGAGGCACUACGGUGCUGAAGCAACAAAUGCCCUGCUUCCAGGAAAAGCCUCUAAGCAUCAGGUAACACGAAAUCGUACCCCAAACCGACACAGGUGGUCAGGUAGAGAAUACCAAGGCGCUUGAGAGAACUCGGGUGAAGGAACUAGGCAAAAUGGUGCCGUAACUUCGGGAGAAGGCACGCUGACACGUAGGUGAAGUGAUUUACUCAUGGAGCUGAAGUCAGUCGAAGAUACCAGCUGGCUGCAACUGUUUAUUAAAAACACAGCACUGUGCAAACACGAAAGUGGACGUAUACGGUGUGACGCCUGCCCGGUGCCGGAAGGUUAAUUGAUGGGGUCAGCGCAAGCGAAGCUCCUGAUCGAAGCCCCGGUAAACGGCGGCCGUAACUAUAACGGUCCUAAGGUAGCGAAAUUCCUUGUCGGGUAAGUUCCGACCUGCACGAAUGGCGUAAUGAUGGCCAGGCUGUCUCCACCCGAGACUCAGUGAAAUUGAACUCGCUGUGAAGAUGCAGUGUACCCGCGGCAAGACGGAAAGACCCCGUGAACCUUUACUAUAGCUUGACACUGAACAUUGAGCCUUGAUGUGUAGGAUAGGUGGGAGGCUUUGAAGUGUGGACGCCAGUCUGCAUGGAGCCGACCUUGAAAUACCACCCUUUAAUGUUUGAUGUUCUAACGUGGACCCGUAAUCCGGGUUGCGGACAGUGUCUGGUGGGUAGUUUGACUGGGGCGGUCUCCUCCUAAAGAGUAACGGAGGAGCACGAAGGUUGGCUAAUCCUGGUCGGACAUCAGGAGGUUAGUGCAAUGGCAUAAGCCAGCUUGACUGCGAGCGUGACGGCGCGAGCAGGUGCGAAAGCAGGUCAUAGUGAUCCGGUGGUUCUGAAUGGAAGGGCCAUCGCUCAACGGAUAAAAGGUACUCCGGGGAUAACAGGCUGAUACCGCCCAAGAGUUCAUAUCGACGGCGGUGUUUGGCACCUCGAUGUCGGCUCAUCACAUCCUGGGGCUGAAGUAGGUCCCAAGGGUAUGGCUGUUCGCCAUUUAAAGUGGUACGCGAGCUGGGUUUAGAACGUCGUGAGACAGUUCGGUCCCUAUCUGCCGUGGGCGCUGGAGAACUGAGGGGGGCUGCUCCUAGUACGAGAGGACCGGAGUGGACGCAUCACUGGUGUUCGGGUUGUCAUGCCAAUGGCACUGCCCGGUAGCUAAAUGCGGAAGAGAUAAGUGCUGAAAGCAUCUAAGCACGAAACUUGCCCCGAGAUGAGUUCUCCCUGAGACUUUAGGUCUCCUGAAGGAACGUUGAAGACGACGACGUUGAUAGGCCGGGUGUGUAAGCGCAGCGAUGCGUUGAGCUAACCGGUACUAAUGAACCGUGAGGCUUAACCUUACAACGCCGAAG